rnacentral:misc_RNA from 1 species
GGAGUAAAAGUCGUAACAAGGUUUCCGUAGGUGAACCUGCGGAAGGAUCAUUAUUGUAUAACCGAGGUGCGAGGGCUGUCGCUGACCCGAAAGGUCGUGCACGCCCGAGUGCCCUCACACACAUCCAUCUCACCCCUAUGUGCACCACCGCGUGGGUCCCCCUUUGGCUUGUUCGGAGGGGGGCUUACGUUUUCACACAAACUUUGUAUGCAGUGUAGAAUGUAUUUUCUGUUUUUGCGAUCACGCAAUCAAUACAACUUUCAACAACGGAUCUCUUGGCUCUC